rnacentral:snRNA from 1 species
GUGCUCGGUUCAGCAGCACAUAUACAAAAAAAAAAUUGGAAUGAUACAGAGAUUAGCAUGGCGCCUGCGCAAGGAUAACACGCAAAUUCAUGAAGUAUGCCAUUAUUUU